ACCCUCUUAAUUAACAUCAAUUUUUAUCACCCUUUCUCCAACUAUAUUUGCUUUUUUCUACUUGGAACCUUAAAUUCAUUCACUCCACUGUCCACUUUUCUCUAGCUAGAACUCAACCACCCUUCACAAAUUUAAUCUAAAAAUUUAUUGCUAUUAGGUUAUAUAACAACACCACCUCCUGCUAGCAAAUAUUGUGCUCAAGAGAACAACAAAAAGGAAAAAUUCUGCUCAAAAGAUAACAACAACAACAAGCAUUAUGGCUAAACAAAAGAAAGUUUCUGCGGAUUGGUCGGAUCUUAAAGUGAAUGAAAUAUUCAUCCAAACAUGUUUGGAUCAAGUUGUCAAGAAUGAACGCGUUGGCACUAGCUUUACUAAGAAAGGGUGGGAAAACAUUGUUUACCAAUUUCAUGAAUCAACCGGGAGAGAUUAUGACAAGAUUCAAUUGAAGAAUAGGUAUGAUGCCUUGAAAAAGGAAUGGAGAGUAUGGUUUAACCUAUUUGGAAAAGUUACCGGAAUGGGGUGGGAUAAUGAGAGGAAUACCUUCAAGUGGCAUAUUGCCCAACGAGGACUGUGGUACUGAUGUUGGUCAAGACGUAAAUAAUAUUGACUUGGAUGUGGGAGAAGGAUCAGGUGAUAGUGAAGAUGUGAGUAUUGGAGCAACAGGAGAAUUUGCAAAUAUUAAUUUGAAUAUUUCACAAGGAGCUUCUAGCCAAAUUAGUGGACAAAAGAGAAAGAGAGAUGGUGGUGUUGAUAAGAAAAUCAAGAAAAAGACAACUCCCGCAUUGGCAAUAGCUGAAGCUGUGAAAGAGAUUGCUGAGAAAGGGAUAUCCUACACAAAAUGCAAUGGUCGUAUGUGAUUGGAAUAUGUGUUUCACUUUUGUAUUGGCUGGUUGGGAAGGUACUGCUCAUGAUGCUCGUGUUUUUGACCAAGCUUUAACAAAUGCAAAUCUUAAUUUUCCACACCCUCCGCCAGGUAAGUAUUAUUUGGUAGAUUCUGGCUAUCCAACACCAAUAGGGUACAUUGGUCCAUACAAACAUGAACGGUAUCAUCUUCCUGAAUUUAGGCGUUCUAACGGGUUUGCAAAUCAUAAUGAAGUAUUUAAUUAUUAUCACUCAAGUUUAAGGUGCACAAUAGAAAGAACUUUUGGGGUAUGGAAGAACAGAUUUGCAAUCCUACGUCGCAUGCCUAACUUUAAAUUUGAGACACAAGUUCAAAUAGUUGUCGCAACAAUGGCUAUACACAACUUUAUCCGAAGGAAGGCAUAAAUUGAUAUUGAUUUUAAUGUUUAUGAAGAUCAAAGCACGAUCAUUCACCAUGAUGAUAGCUCAUCUAACUUGGAUCAAUCCCAUGUUUUAAAUGUAGUUUCGUCGUCAGAGAUGGAUCGCGUUCGAAACAUAAUCCGCAAUGAAAUUAUUGAGCACAGACAAGAUAAUUACUAUUGU